AACGAACGCUGGCGGCAUGCCUAACACAUGCAAGUCGAACGAGACCUUCGGGUCUAGUGGCGCACGGGUGCUUAACGCGUGGGAACCUGCCCUUAGGUUCGGAAUACCUCCCCGAAAGGGGUCCUAAUACCGGUUAAUGUCUUCGGACCAAAGUUUUAUCGCCUUUGGAUGGGCCCGCGUUGGUUUCGCUAGUUGGUAGGGUACAAGCCUACCAAGGCGACGAUCCAUAGCUGGUCUGAGAGGAUGAUCAGCAACACUGGGACUGAGACACGGCCCAGACUCCUACGGGAGGGAGCAGUGGGGAAUAUUGGACAAUGGGCGAAAGCCUGAUACAGCAAUGCCGCGUGAGAGAUGAAGGGCUUAGGGUUGUAAAGCUCUUUUACACGGGAUGAGAAUGACAGUACCGGGAGAAUAAGCACCGGCUAACUCCGUG
rnacentral:rRNA from 1 species